rnacentral:rRNA from 1 species
UACGGGGGAGCAAGCGUUGUUCGGAUUUACUGGGCGUAAAGGGCGCGUAGGCGGCGUGACAAGUCACUUGUGAAAUCUCCGGGCUUAACUCGGAACGGUCAAGUGAUACUGUCGUGCUAGAGUACAGGAAGGGCACUGGAAUUCCCGGUGUAGCGGUGGAAUGCGUAGAGAUCGGGAAGAACAUCAGUGGCGAAGGCGGUCUGCUGGGCCGUUGCUGACGCUGAGGCGCGACAGCGUGGGGAGCAAACAGG